rnacentral:tRNA from 1 species
AGUAGUGAAGUAAUUAUAUUACAUUUAGUUUCGACCUAAAAUUAAGAGAAUACUUCUCCUUACUU